UUCUGGCCACAAAAUCUGAGAAUGACUCCUGAUUACUGGCCCUUAACUUUGAAGCCAGAUUCUGCCAUACCUGGUACACCCCGUAAGUGAAGACUGAAUGUGUUCCACAGACUUCAAAGUCACAGAUCACUAGGAGCGAUGAAGGAAGAUGGGACUUCUACACACGCACUCAGCAAGAAAUAGUCUGCUCAUAUCACUCCUUUCCCCAAGUACAUCAAUAGGAAAUGAGAAGGAGAUUGGUGUAGGACGUUAGAUAUUCAUGCCACUCAAGUGGCAGGAAUGGUUUUCCCUACCAAUGAUUCCAUUUGUAAACUUUGUAUUCUCUGUAAACUCUGUAUAUUUGCUAAACUCUGUAAACUCUCAAGGUAGGAAAGGAGUCAGGCUCCUGUCUGAGGUGCUCCAGCAGCCAGGCCCAUCCUCAGACGUCUCUGUUUUAAUUGUCACAAAGGUCAUCUCUAGCUACUCAGCAGAACCCUCCCCAGAUUAUGCUAAUUUUAGGUGAAAAGUCUCAUGAAAAGCUAUAAACCCCUGAAUAUCAAAACCUACCAAACCCUGAACUUCCCAUAGCAACCCAACCCCUGAGCACAAAACAACAAAAAAUAAAAACAACAAAACCAACACAAAACAAUCCCUGAACAGGAAAACCCUGAGCACCAAAUCCCACCAGUUCUUACCCUGGAAACCUCCACCCUAGAAAACUCUAUCCCCAAGAACAUCUAAGCACUGUGCAUUGUCCAAUUCCCCAUUGUCUGCUCCUUCCUGGGAACUUAGGCAGCCACUCCUGGUCUUACCCACUCACACCUUGGAACCACCAAUAAAUCUUUUAUGAGAUACUC